rnacentral:sRNA from 22 species
GUCUACUUUUUAGCGAGUCUGGGAUAGUGUGAGCCAGAUAGGGAAGCAGAGCAGAUGGCGCUUUUGGUUAACAUUUUUAAACGUAAUGAAGUAAUAAAUUAGGGUGGAACCGCGUUUUUGACG